rnacentral:rRNA from 1 species
GACGAACGCUGGCGGCGUGCUUAACACAUGCAAGUCGAACGAUGAUGCCAGCUUGCUGGUGGAUUAGUGGCGAACGGGGGAGUAACACGUGAGCAACCUGCCCCUGACUUCGGGAUAACCGCGGGAAACCGUGGCUAAUACCGGAUAUGACGCGCUAUCGCAUGGUGGUGGGUGGAAAGAUUUAUCGGGUGGGGAUGGGCUCGCGGCCUAUCAGCUUGUUGGUGGGGUGAUGGCCUACCAAGGCGGCGACGGGUAGCCGGCCGGAGUGGGUGACCGGCCACACUGGGAGGGACUCAGGGACGAGACAGCUACGGGAGGCAGGAGGGGGGAAGAAUGCUCACGGAGCGCAAGCAUGAUGGAGCGAGGGCGCGUGAGGGCGGAAGGCCUUCGUGUUGUAAACCUACUUCUGUAGGGAAGAAGGCAUUCGGGUUGACGGUACCUGCAGAAGAAGCGCCGGCUAACUACGUG